GUGCCAGCAGCCGCGGUAAUACGAAGGGGGCUAGCGUUGCUCGGAAUUACUGGGCGUAAAGGGCGCGUAGGCGGCCUGCUUAGUCAGACGUGAAAUUCCUGGGCUUAACCUAGGGGCUGCGUUUGAGACGGGCGGGCUUGAGGAUGGAAGAGGCUCGUGGAAUUCCCAGUGUAGAGGUGAAAUUCGUAGAUAUUGGGAAGAACACCGGUGGCGAAGGCGGCGAGCUGGUCCAUUACUGACGCUGAGGCGCGACAGCGUGGGGAGCAAACAGGAUUAGAUACCCUGGUAGUCC
rnacentral:rRNA from 1 species